rnacentral:rRNA from 1 species
GACGAACGCUGGCGGCGUGCCUAAUACAUGCAAGUAGAACGCAGUUGCGAACGGUUAAGUACGGGGUAGGUAACUGCCUAAUAGCGGGGGAUAACUAUUGGAAAGGAUAGCAAAUACAGCAAAAUGGAGGAUGACCAUACGUUGCAUUAGCUAGUUGGUGAGGUAAAGGCUAACCAAGGCGACGAAACAUAGCCGACCGGAGAGGGUGAUCGGCCACACUGGGACUGAGACACGGCCCAGACGCCUACGGGAGGCAGCAGUAGGGAAUCUUCGGCAAUGGACGGAAGUCGGACCGAGCAACGCAGCGUGAGUGAAGAAGGUUCUCGGAUCGUAAAGCUCUGUUGUUAUAGAAGCGGUAACUAACCAGAAAGGGACGGCUAACUACGUGCCAGCAGCCGCGGUAAUUC